rnacentral:rRNA from 1 species
GUAGGGAAUCUUCGGCAAUGGGGGCAACCCUGACCGAGCAACGCCGCGUGAGUGAAGAAGGUUUUUCGGAUCGUAAAGCUCUGUUGUAAGAGAAGAACGUGUGUGAGAGUGGAAAGUUCACACAGUGACGGUAACUUACCAGAAAGGGACGGCUAACUACGUGCCAC